rnacentral:rRNA from 1 species
GUGCCAGCCGCCGCGGUAAUACGAAGGGGGCUAGCGUUGCUCGGAAUCACUGGGCGUAAAGCGCACGUAGGCGGGUCUUUAAGUCGGGGGUGAAAUCCUGGAGCUCAACUCCAGAACUGCCUUCGAUACUGAGGAUCUCGAGUCCGGGAGAGGUGAGUGGAACUCCGAGUGUAGAGGUGAAAUUCGUAGAUAUUCGGAAGAACACCAGUGGCGAAGGCGGCUCACUGGCCCGGUACUGACGCUGAGGUGCGAAAGCGUGGGGAGCAAACAGGAUUAGAUACCCUCGUAGUCC